rnacentral:lncRNA from 1 species
CUAGGUGUUAGGAAUCGCCAUCACAUAGCGACAGGUAUGCAUGCAAAAAUUUUAAAAUUUUAAAUACAAUAGAAAAAAAUUUUAAAAUAAUUUUCAAAAUAAUCAACAUCAUUUUAGGACAAUCAUGUAAUAUAAUAUUUUAUUGUUAUGUCAGGAUAAUCUUAUAUCAAAAUGAUAUUCAUUAGAUCUAAUCUAAUUAAGCAUGCACAGAGAUAUAUCUCAAUUAAAUUCAGGC